rnacentral:rRNA from 1 species
CCGAUAGUGAACCAGUACCGUGAGGGAAAGGUGAAAAGAACCGCGGGAGCGGAGUGAAAUAGAACCUGAAACCAUAUGCUUACAAGAAGACAGAGCCCGUUAAGGGGUGAUGUCGUGCCUUUUGUAGAAUGAACCGGCGAGUUAUCUUAUCGUGCGAGGUUAAGUGGAAGACACGGAGCCGAAGCGAAAGCGAGUCUGAAUAGGGCGGCAGUACGAUGAGAUAGACCCGAAGCCGUAGUGAUCUAGCCAUGACCAGGUUGAAGUUUGGGUGAAACCGAAUGGAGUACCGAAACGCCCCCCGGUGAAGAGUUGGCGGAUGAGGUGUGGAUAGCGGAGAAAUUCCAAUCGAACGCGGAGAUAGCUGGUUCUCCCCGAAAUAGCUUUAGGGCUAGCGUCGAAGUAAGGGUAGUGGAGGUAGAGCACUGAAUUCAUGAUGGCGCCGUCAAGGUGUACUGAAUGAAAUCAAACUCCGAAUGCCAUUAUUGAAUCUUCGGCAGUCAGACUGUGGGUGAUAAGGUCCAUGGUCAAAAGGGAAACAGCCCAGAUCAUCAGUUAAGGUCCCAAAAUUACCGCUAAGUGGAAAAGGAUGUGGGGAUGCACAGACAACUAGGAGGUUGGCUUAGAAGCAGCCACCCUUCAAAGAGUGCGUAACAGCUCACUAGUCGAGUGACCCUGCGCCGAAAAUUAACCGGGGCUAAGCGGUAUACCGAAACUAUGGCAAUGAUGUAAAUCAUUGGGUAGGGGAGCGUUCCAUGGGCGUUGAAGCUGUACCGUAAGGAGCAGUGGAGCGCAUGGAAGUGAGAAUGCCGGUGUGAGUAGCGAGAUGCAGGUGAGAAUCCUGCACACCGAUAGACCAAGGAUUCCAGGGGAAGGUUCGUCCGCCCUGGGUAAGUCGGGACCUAAGGCGAGGCUGAAAAGCGUAGUCGAUGGAAAACAGGUUGAUAUUCCUGUACCCGCGCAUCGAGUGAUGGAGUGACAAAGAAGGCUAACCGGACCGGUGAAUGGAUUCCGGACCAAGCGAGGUAGGAGGCAGUCAGGCAAAUCCGGCUGUCAAUCUGAAGGCGUGAUGGGGAGUGAACAGCGCGAGCUAAGUAGCGAAGACGGCGAUGCCAGCUUUCAAGAAAAGCUUCUAGCGCUAAUCGAUGAGCGGCCCGUACCAAAACCGACACAGGUGGUCAAGGCGAGAAGCCUAAGGUGAGCGAGAGAACUGUUGCCAAGGAACUCGGCAAAAUAGCCCCGUACGUUCGCAAGAAGGGGCGCUCGAAAGAGCCGCAGUGAAGAGGCCCAAGCAACUGUUUAACUAAAACACAGCUCUCUGCAAAGUCGCAAGACGAAGUAUAGGGGGUGACGCCUGCCCGGUGCUGGAAGGUUAAGAGGAUAUGUUAGUCGCAAGACGAAGCAUUGAAUUGAAGCCCCAGUGAACGGCGGCCGUAACUAUAACGGUCCUAAGGUAGCGAAAUUCCUUGUCAGGUAAGUUCUGACCCGCACGAAAGGCGUAAUGAUUUGGGCGCUGUCUCGGCAGCAGACUCGGUGAAAUCUUAGUACCUGUGAAGAUGCAGGUUACCCGCAACUAGACGGAAAGACCCCAUGGAGCUUUACUGUAGCCUGAUAUUGAGUUUUGAUCAAGUAUGUACAGGAUAGGUGGGAGACGAAGAAGUUGGGACGUCAGUUUCAAUGGAGUCGACGUUGGGAUACCACUCUUAGUUGAUUGAAAUUCUAACCUGUAUCCAUGAGCUGGGUAAGGGACAGUGUCAGGUGGGCAGUUUGACUGGGGCGGUCGCCUCCUAAAGAGUAACGGAGGCGCCCAAAGGUACCCUCAGAUUGGUUGGAAAUCAAUCGACGAGCGCAAAUGCAGAAGGGUGCUUGACUGCAAGACAGACAAGUCGAGCAGGGACGAAAGUCGGGAUUAGUGAUCCGGCGGUGCAGAAUGGAAUGGCCGUCGCUUAACGGAUAAAAGCUACCCUGGGGAUAACAGGCUGAUCUCGCCCAAGAGUUCACAUCGACGGCGAGGUUUGGCACCUCGAUGUCGGCUCAUCGCAUCCUGGAGCUGAAUUCGGUUCCAAGGGUUGGGCUGUCCGCCCAUUAAAGCGGUACGCGAGCUGGGUUCAGAACGUCGUGAGACAGUUCGGUCCCUAUCCGGCGUGGGCGUAGGA